AAAGAGAGACCUAAUUCAGGUAGGAGACGAAAAAAAAGUAGUCCCUACCAAGAAUCAAUCCCAAAAGGUCGGAACGAGGUAUGAGGCUUUCAAACUAGGUUCUGGGUUCAUAAAAGACCUGAAUCAGGAACAAGGGCUAUUAGCUCAGGUGGUUAGAGCGCACCCCUGAUAAGGGUGAGGUCCCUGGUUCGAGUCCAGGAUGGCCCACCUGCACAGGUGGCAAAAACAAGAGAAGCGAGGAAUCAGCACCUUAUCUUAUAUACAUAUAUAAGAGAGAAUGCUGGCUCUGAGUACAGAGUCCAGAGGAACCUUGAAAACUGCAUAGAGCUAGGUGAAAAAGCCAAAAAAGAAGACCGCAAG
rnacentral:tRNA from 1 species